rnacentral:rRNA from 1 species
GCCAGCAGCCAUAUCACCCUGCAACUCACAACUGGCAGCCCACUGAUGCUUAGCAGGUGUGAGCCUGGUCAGUACCUGGAUGGAGACCUACUGGGAAAAACUAAGGUUGCUGCUGGAA